CCCUGAAUGUCCCGGCGGGACGUGAGUGGGAAGAGGGAUUUGUUUCCUUGGAGGUGGCCUAGUGACAGGCCCAUCCCAACCCUCAAGGCGGUGGGGGCACGCGUUAGCAUUGAGUCCGGGUUCAGCUUAGUAGACUAGAGCUGUUCCUGCAUCCCCUGGGCCACCAGCCGAAAAGGGCAGGGUUCGGAGGCAGCUAGAGGCAAGCCCUGAGCAGGUGUCACUUCAUCCUGGCCCAGGUACUGCAGCUCCAAAUCGUGGGGAUUCUGUAAGAGCUUGCUACCUGUUGACUGAGGAGGCCCACGAGUCGAGUAAGUACAUCAUCAUUUAUGUGGCUCUACUGAAAAAAGGUGUUCAGAAAUAAGUCAAAAGGAAAGAGAACAGACUUUUAAUGAUACUUUUUAAAAACAGUUCAGGUUGGUGAAGCAGAAAAGGGAUGUGAUUACAAUUUAAAUGAAUCAGUCACUUGCACAAUUAGUCCUCUUGGCAUCAUACAAACUGGGUUUUAAUGGCAAAUGAUGACAUCAUAGCAUGACCAACACUGAUGGAAGGCAGUCUAGAGUCCAUCACGCUCACACCUGAGGGGGAAGGCAUUGCACCCACUGACGAGACGCAGAGACCUUGGACUACAGAUGACACCACAUGCCCACUUCUCCUUCCUCACCUUCCUAUGGCUACUCCUAGUCACCUGGGACCCAGGCCUUGGCUGCAGGAACAGACUUUUUCC
rnacentral:lncRNA from 1 species